GUGCUCACUUUGGUGGCACAUACAAUAAAAUUGGAAACAUACAGAGAUUAGCAUGACCCCCUGCACAAAGAUGACACACGUAUUCAUGAAACUGUCCAUAAAAAA
ensembl:snRNA U6 U6 spliceosomal RNA